rnacentral:lncRNA from 1 species
UUGGCUUUUUCUUUUUCUUUCUUUUUUCUUUUCUUCAUUUGUUCCUUUUACUUUCUUUUCAAUCUCUUGGCAUUUUGGAGCAAAUCAAGCCCACAACAAAGAGAAUAAAUUAAAUGAAGGUGAAGGUUAAUUGAGGAACUCAAGAUUCAAUCAAAUCCAACCAAAAAAAGUUUUAUCUUAAAUCUUGUAUUCUCUUUAUUAUUUUCUAUCAUUUGUGAUGUAUUGGAAGAAUAUUCUCCUUUGUUAUCAUAUACAUAGUAUGGGC